UGAGGUGAAACCCGAUUAUCUGCGCCUGGCUCAAGAUCUCGGGCGGACCCUCGCACAUCAAGAU
rnacentral:tRNA from 1 species